AGAGUUUGAUCCUGGCUCAGAACGAACGCUGGCGGCGUGCCUAACACAUGCAAGUUGAACGGAGUUAAAUGUGUAGCAAUACAUGCUUAACUUAGUGGCGGACGGGUGAGUAACACGUAGGUAACCAACCCUCAAGCGGGGGACAACAUCGGGAAACCGGUGCUAAUACCGCAUAAGACCACGGACUGGGAUGUCAGUGGUAAAAGGAGCAAUCCACUUGAGGAUGGGCCUGCGGCCUAUCAGGUAGUUGGUAAGGUAAAGGCUUACCAAGCCUAAGACGGGUAGCCGGACUGAGAGGUUGGACGGCCACACUGGAACUGAGACACGGUCCAGACUCCUACGGGAGGCAGCAGUGGGGAAUUUUGCGCAAUGGGCGAAAGCCUGACGCAGCGACGCCGCGUGGAGGAUGAAGGUCUUCGGAUUGUAAACUCCUUUUGCAGGGGAAGAUAAUGACGGUACCCUGCGAAUAAGCCACGGCUAACUCUGUGCCAGCAGCCGCGGUAAGACAGAGGUGGCAAGCGUUGUUCGGAAUUACUGGGCUUAAAGGGCGCGUAGGUGGUGAUGCAAGUCUGGGGUGGAAGGCUGAGGCUUAACCUUGGAAUUGCCUUGGAAACUGCAUUACUUGAGUCAGACAGGGGAUGGCGGAAUUCCUGGUGUAGCGGUGAAAUGCGUAGAUAUCAGGAGGAAGGCCGGUGGCGAAGGCGGCCAUCUGGGUCUGAACUGACACUGAGGCGCGAAAGCGUGGGGAGCAAACAGGAUUAGAUACCCUGGUAGUCCACGCCCUAAACGGUGGAUACUAG
rnacentral:rRNA from 1 species